rnacentral:lncRNA from 1 species
UUGGAUGCCAGGCUUUCUAGUUAGCGCUCUCUCUUUGUGACUCACAGAUGAUGUCUCAACAUAUAAGCUCUCAGCUACUGUUCCAGCGCCAUGCCUGCCUGCCUGCUGCCAUGCUGCCUACCAUGAUGGUCAUGGACUCACCCUCUGAAACUUGUUGGAUGGCGUGAAUGGGCGAGUAAGCAUAGAAGAGCUUCCUGCUGCUCUUGGGUAUUCUCAUGUGGCCUGUUGCUGCUUUGUUCUGGGACUGGACUAUCAGAAGCAAACAACAUCUUGACGAAUGACGUUUACCUUACGUAAGACGAUCUCACCAGCCUCCUCGGUGCAGAGAAUUCUUCCCUCACUGCAGCCUGUGUAUGCUGUGGGAAUAGCAGAAUGAUAUACAGCCAACUGUUACUGAGCACCAGACUGCAGAUACAAUGUGACCAGCCUGCAGUGCUUCCUGUGCCACAACGGACCAACCACAUCCUCCAACCGCGGGUCUAGAGCCUGCAGUGAUGACGGAGGACGACGAUGGAGUUGGUUCCCUGCUGGUGCUUGCUUCCUAUAAAAGCCAAUCCUUUACGAGCUGAUUGUCUUCCAAUAAAUUUGGGGUCGCUGCAUUCGUGCUUGCCUCCUGCUGCACACAGCUUCCUUGC